UUCCAGACUCCUACGGGAGGCAGCAGUCGGGAAUAUUGCGCAAUGGAGGAAACUCUGACGCAGUGACGCCGCGUAUAGGAAGAAGGUUUUCGGAUUGUAAACUAUUGUCGUUAGGGAAGAUACAAGACAGUACCUAAGGAGGAAGCCCCGGCUAACUAUGUGCCAGCAGCCGCGGUAAUACGUAGGGGGCAAGCGUUAUCCGGAUUUACUGGGUGUAAAGGGAGCGUAGACGGUUAUGUAAGUCUGGAGUGAAAGCCCGGGGCCCAACCCCGGGACUGCUUUGGAAACUGUGUAACUGGAGUACAGGAGGGGCAGGCGGAAUUCCUGGUGUAGCGGUGAAAUGCGUAGAUAUCAGGAGGAACACCGGCGGCGAAGGCGGCCUGCUGGACUGAAACUGACGUUGAGGCUCGAAAGCGUGGGGAGCAAACAGGAUUAGAUACCCGCGUACG
rnacentral:rRNA from 1 species